UACAGAGGUCUCAAGCGUUGUUCGGAAUCAUUGGGCGUAAAGCGCGUGUAGGCGGCCCGGUAAGUCCGCUGUGAAAGUCGGGGGCUCAACCCUCGAAUGCCGGUGGAUACUGUCGGGCUAGAGUGCGGAAGAGGCGAGUGGAAUUCCUGGUGUAGCGGUGAAAUGCGCAGAUAUCAGGAGGAACACCGGUGGCGAAGGCGGGUCUCUGGGCCGUAACUGACGCUGAGGAGCGAAAGCAUGGGGAGCGAACAGG
rnacentral:rRNA from 1 species